rnacentral:lncRNA from 1 species
AGAGGAGACCGGAUACUUCAGAGGGUUCAGAAUGGCUAUAGGAGAAGCUGUUAACAAGAGUAUUUAUGUGUGGAGUUACUGAUUGUAAUCAUGGUAACAGGAGAAGUGACAUUUGAAGGCCUACUGUGUACUGAACUCAGAACAAAGGGAGUUAUCUAUAUAACUUCAGCACAUCUUCUCAGCAACCUGAUGAGGUUGACUUUCAACUCUGUGUAGCCUGCAGUAAAGCAGCCUGGCAGAACUAAGAGAGGCCCUGCCUCAACAGGUGGAAGGAGAACUGAGUCCCUAGAGGUGUCAUCUGACCUGCACAGAUGUGCCCUGGCAUGUUUAUGUCUGCACUUACACACACACACACACACACACACACACACACACACACACCAAUAAUAAAAACUACUACUAAU